rnacentral:rRNA from 1 species
AUUGAACGCUGGCGGCAGGCCUAACACAUGCAAGUCGAGCGAGUGGCGGACGGGUGAGUAAUGUCUGGGAAACUGCCUGAUGGAUGGGGAUCACUACUGGAAACGGUAGCUAAUACCGCAUACCAUCGGAUUUGCCCAGAUGGGAUUAGCUUGUUGGUGGGGUAAAGGCUCACCAAGGCGACGAUCCCUAGCUGGUCUGAGAGGAUGACCAGCCACACUGGAACUGAGACACGGUCCAGACUCCUACGGGAGGCAGCAGUGGGGAAUAUUGCACAAUGGGCGCAAGCCUGAUGCAGCCAUGCCGCGUGUAUGAAGAAGGCCUUAGGGUUGUAAAGUACUUUCAGCGGGGAGGCGUUACCAGCAGAAGAAGCACCGGCUAACUCCGUGCCAGCAGCCGCGGUAAUAC